AGUGAACGCUGGCGGUAGGCCUAACACAUGCAAGUCGAACGGCAGCACAGUAAGAGCUUGCUCUUACGGGUGGCGCGUGGCGGACGGGUGAGGAAUACAUCGGAAUCUACUUUUUCGUGGGGGAUAACGUAGGGAAACUUACGCUAAUACCGCAUACGACCUACGGGUGAAAGCAGGGGAUCUUCGGACCUUGCGCGAUUGAAUGAGCCGAUGUCGGAUUAGCUAGUUGGCGGGGUAAAGGCCCACCAAGGCGACGAUCCGUAGCUGGUCUGAGAGGAUGAUCAGCCACACUGGAACUGAGACACGGUCCAGACUCCUACGGGAGGCAGCAGUGGGGAAUAUUGGACAAUGGUCGCAAGCCUGAUCCAGCCAUACCGCGUGGGUGAAGAAGGCCUUCGGGUUGUAAAGCCCUUUUGUUGGGAAAGAAAAGCAGCAGGUUAAUACCCCGCUGUUCUGACGGUACCCAAAGAAUAAGCACCGGCUAACUUCGUG
rnacentral:rRNA from 1 species